GGGCGGUUGGCGAAGUGGUUAUCGCGACUGAUCGACAUUCAGUAGGUCAUAGGUUCGACUCCUAUACCGCCCA
rnacentral:tRNA from 2 species